GUUCCUACGGGAGGCAGCAGUGAGGAAUAUUGGUCAAUGGCCGGAAGGCUGAACCAGCCAAGCCGCGUGAAGGACGAAGGUGCCAAGCAUUGUAAACUUCUUUUGUCAAGGGACAAAAUCAGGCUCGCGUGCCUGACCGAGGGUACUUGAAGAAAAAGCAUCGGCUAACUCCGUGCCAGCAGCCGCGGUGAUACGGAGGUUGCGAGCGUUAUCCGGAUUUAUUGGGUUUAAAGGGUGCGUAGGCGGGCUGUUAAGUCAGCGGUAAAAGCCCGGGGUUCAACCCCGGCGAGCCGGUGAAACUGGCG
rnacentral:rRNA from 1 species